rnacentral:tRNA from 1 species
GUUGACGUGGCCGAGUGGUUAAGGCGACCGCCUGCUAAGCGGUUGGAGUUUCUCCGCGCAAGUUCGAAUCUUGCCGUCAACG